UUGAGGUCAUCUGCACCUCCUGACUGGGAGAAGAUGGUCAACAUAUUGAAAGGAGUGCUUAUAGAAUGUGACCCCGCCAUGAAGCUGUUUCUCUUGUCCUGGGAUGAGUCCAGUGCCCUGGGGAAGAAGUUCAUAAUUCAAGACAUUGAUGACACUCAUGUCUUUGUAAUAGCAGAGUUGGUUAAUGUCCUCCAGGAGCGAGUGGGUGAAUUAAUGGACCAAAAUGCAUUUUCUCUUACCCAGAAGUGAAAAUAUUAGAUAGCGACCACUUAAGAAUUAUAAGCAGCAAAUGUGAAAGCCUCACCACUCGGUAUCUUAAUGUGACUGAUUAGACUUAGAAGAUUGCUUAGGAGCCUGCUAUGGGAAAGAGUAGGGAUCGUUUGUCAAGAAAAAAUGCCUCCUGAGCUGAUUUUGUUGUACCCUAGAAUUU